AUUCUACUCCCUCUGUUGCACAAUACAUGCCUUCUAUUUGUCAAAAUAUAUAUGUAUCUAGACAUGUUUUAGUAUAUAGGUACAUCCAUUUUUGAACAAAUGGAAGUCAAGUAUUUUGGAACGGAGGGAGUACAAA
rnacentral:pre_miRNA from 1 species